AAACGUGUCUUUGCCUAGCACGCUAGUUCGGUUAUUUGUGAUUGGCCAUUUUCUACUUAUUCCCGCCUCAGCGGGUAGAUGGUGAAUUCUGAUUGGACAAAGGGAGAGAUUUGUUUUUUUUUUUUGCUCCAUCGAGUUUAAGUCGGCUAUAUAAAACACAAACUGGCAAAGUGUUAAACUGUCUGUAUUUGGCGGAAGAAGUGUUAUUAAUACUUUAAUACUUUUAUUUAGUGGAUUGGUGUUUAUACUCUGUACGAUAGCAAACGUUUACGGUUUGUUCUUGUGAGUCUGCUGUACAGCGCAGUUUGUCGCUACGUUAACUAACAGGACUAAGCUAAAAAAGAGAAUUCUAUCUGACGGGUUUCCAGCAGUGCGUUUAGUUUAUUUAGUUUUCGUGACGGAGAGAAAAUCAUGGAGCAGUUGUGACGGUUUGGAGUCUCGUUGCCAUGGUGAUACAGUAUCGCGGUGCUGGUCGAGAGAGGAGGCCGUGAGACUACAGGGAUAUCUACCGCUUCAUGUGAGAGAAGUAAACCACCUUGGAAGGCAUUCAGGUGAUCUGUUUGUUGUGUUCUUUCAGCUCGGAAGAUUGAACAGGCCAUUUGUUGUUUUAAAGGCCAACACGCUCCCCAGCAACGUUACAGGCCUACAACAGAUUUCACGGUGUCUGAAGAGAGAGCGAGUGAGAGAGUGUGUGUAAAAUUCAAACGACAUCAGUACGAUGGGUGGGCAUUAUUUUAUUGAACCAGUGCAGCUACAGGCACAAAUUACAAUCUUAUGACUUUGUGUUUGUAGUUCUAGUUGAAGUAGUUAAUCAAGAUUAAUAUAUGAGCUCCAUUUGAUGAUGAUAAAGACCUACAUCCCAAUUCUGUUUUCCAAAUGGACUUUUUAGCAGAUACUCAGAUGUUUAAAUCUUCAAAAUAAUCCUUAACAAAUCCUGCAAUUGCCUUUAAUGCCGACAGAAUAAGCACAUCUUCUUUUUUGUCAUCUAUUUCAGUCUCCUUAUAAUAGUUGCUCACUGAGAAGAUGCAUUUCAGUGGUGGACCAAUUGUGUGGCUGCAUUCCUGCAUCUAGACACAUAGAAAAUACAAACAGGAUCAAAUUUGUAUCGAUUACAAGAAAAAUUAAACACAAGUAGGAUAAUAUGUGUAAGAAGAAAAAACCUUUUCUUUGAUUUUCCUGCUUUUGUAAACCUCAGCUAGAUCCUUUGUAACCAGUGGGCAGACAUCAGUAUCGAUUUUUGUCAUCAGAACCACAUGUGGGAUGCCUGGGGUUCACAGAUAAGUUAUGAGUGAUGAGUGGCUGGACGUGGGCGGAGACAAGACAUAGAUUAAAAAAAAAAACGUGUUCAAUUCAUGAAAAUUUAAAUAGAAGUUUAUAAAAAUGUAGCAUGUAAUGUUCAGAGAAUGAAACAUGAAAACAUGGAACAGAAGUGGGUUAACAAGUGUGUGUUGUGCUGUGAGCUACUGUGCAACUCUGCUUGCAUCGAUUUGUGUAUGUAAUAUCCUUUGGUGCAGAUAUAUGUAGACAUAGACACAGGGAGAUGAAUUAACAUGAACCUUUAUUUCUGACCGUAACACACCUUUGGUCGCUUCCUCUGUCUGCUCCAUAUUAGAGUCUCUAGAGACUGUGACACCCACAAUUGAUGUUACCUCGUCUCCCUCUUUCCUGGAUGUUUUCUCCAACUCCAGAGUUUCCUCUGAAAACCCCACAUGCCUGUUCCUCACUUGAUCUGUGUGCCGGCGCACAAUUUGACCAUUUCCAAGUUCCACAGUACAAGACACCGGUCCCGUCUGUUUCUGCACUGUCCCAGGAAUCCAGAUAGGCUCCGAACCAAAGUUUUUAGUGUUCACUGGGUCACCCUCAGUCACCUGUCUCUUUUUAGCAUGUCGAUCAUGAUCAAACUUUAGUCUCAUCUGUUUUUCCUGUAUUUGAAUGUUAAAAUCAGGAUGGAUGAGAUCCAAGGUAGGCCGUGGUUUUCUUCCACACAACAGCUCUGCAGGAGAUUUCCCAGUAGUCGACUGCGGUGUGAUCCUGUAACUGAACAAUGCUCUAGCCAGUCUUUUCUCAAUAGAAUCUCCUGUGCUCUUCUUCAAGAGGCUUUUAAACGUUUGCACUGCCCGUUCAGCCAGUCCAUUAGAAGCUGCAUGAUGCGGUGAUGUGAACUCUUGGAACUCUGCACUUUGUAACUAGUGCCAUUGUUCAAUACUACAAUUUCUGGUAUUCCAUAUUGGCUAAAACUUUGUCUCAGGCAUUGAACGGUUACAGUAGAGGUAGACUUAUUUAAUGGAUACACGUCUAGCCAUUUAGAGUAGGCAUCCACCAAGAUUAAGAACAUUCUCCCUAACCACGAACCAGCAUAAUCAAUGUGGAUUCUUCUCCAUGGCAGAUUUGGCACCUCCCACGGGUGUAAAGGUGCACAAGGGGUGGGAUUUCUAUUCUCUUGGCAUGUGGCACAAGUUUUUACCAUGCCCUCUAAUUUCGCAUCCAUCUGUGGCCACCACAUAUAACUUCUUGCCAAACCUUUCAUUCGGGUUAUGCCCGGGUGAUUGAUGUGUAAGGGUGCUUUCACACCUGCCUUGUUUAGUUCGGUUAAAUCGUACCAGAGUUCGAUUGUUCUUUUGGUGCGGUUCGUUUGGGCAGGUGAGAAUGCAGCAAUCGAACUCUGGUGCACACCAAAAGCGGACCAAACAAGCGUACAGAGACCUCCUUGAAGAGGUGGUCUGUACGCUUUCAAACAAACUCUGGUGCGGUUCAUAUGUGGUGCGAGAUCGAAUAGACCUAACUGCAAAAAGUAUUGCGCAUUUUGGACUAACCCAGCUGCCGUAGGGGUCGUUGGCAAUAUUUUCGGAAGACGAGCAUGUCACAGUUUCACAAAAGUAAUGCUCGCCGCCUCCUGAAGUGUCUUGCGAUGCGUCUUCACCGUUUGCAGUGCAUUAAAAUGAUAUUUUCAAGCUGCAUCCACGCUUCAUUUUGAAUAUUAAGAUUUUGCAUAGAGUGUAAUCUACUACAUUGCUUGUAUACAGCAAACACGAAACAUAAUUGCAGCGCGCAGUCGUCUCUCCAUGGUGUACUGUAUGCUGUAUUUUCCUCUUUUUGUUUACUUCCGGAGUUUUGUUGAAAUUUCCCGCACGUUUAUUUUGACCAAGCAGUUUAGGAAAUACACUCAAAGACAUUUGGCCAAUGAGUGAUGUGGAUGUUAUCACAUGACUGCAUUUUGGUUUGUUUCAACUGGUGCAGAACAGAACGAUCAGUGUGGUGUGAAAAGGAACCAAAACUGAUAAAAAGCUACAAUGGGUCAUUUUUUGCUUUUGGUCCGGACCAAAUGAACCGAACUAUAGGUGUGAAAGCACCCUAAUGGUUUCAGUAGAGCUGCCCGGCCCGGCGGGGGAAUGCCUACACGUGCCCCCCAAAGAACACAGCCACCCUGUACACUGAGUUCCUCUCGCUUUUUAGUGUAAGCCCCAAAAAGGGAUUCGUCCACUCUCAUUGGCCAUCCUCUGAGCACAUACUCUCGCACUCGAGUUAAAACUGCAUCUUUAUCUGUCCAUUUUCUCACCUGUUCUGCUUUGACCAGGGGCACAUCAUUGUCAAGUAGGAGUACUCUUUCUUCCUCUGCUUGCGUCUCCACUCCUUUCUCAGUUAAGGGUAGUCUUCUUAGUCCAUCAGCAUUUUGAUGUUCCUUGCCAGAUGUUCCUUGCAAUGUCACCGCCCAUCUCUGUAUACGUGGCGAUGCCAUUUGUGGCACUUCUCUCAGUUCAUUAAAUAAUGAAAUCAACGGUUUGUGAUCUGUUACAAUGGUGAACUUUCUUCCAUACAAGUAUGUGUAGAAUUUCUGCAGAAGAUUCUUUGACUUCUCUUGUUCAGCGCCCCAUGUCCAUUUUGUCUCCUUCCUCAACAGUGCAUGUAAUGUUGUGCUAACAAGUUGGAUAGACAAGGCAGGAACUUAUGAUAAUAGUUCAACAGGCCUAAAUAAGCCUUCAGUUCACUCACUGAUUGUGGUGUGGGUGCUUCCUGGAUCGCUUUGGCUUUUUCUGCAACUGGUUGCACACCUGCGGCACUGAUUUUGUGGCCUAUAAAUAUCACCUCCUCUCCCAGGAACUCACACUUACUCCUUUUCAGCCUCAACCCACUUCUUUUUAGCUGAGACAAUACCUUGUCCAGGUUUCUUAGAUGUACCUGCUCACUAGUCCCUGUGACUAAAAUGUUUUGUGUGUGACGUGUGGCAUGUUUUGCAAUAUUCCUUCCAUGGUGCGUCGGAAGAUGGCUGGGCUUGACUCUACUCCGAACGGUAGCCUACAGUAAGUGUACAGUCCUUUGUGUGCAUUGAUAGUGACAUAUUUCUUUGCACUUUCAUAGAGCAUGAUCUGCUGAUAUGUCCAUGUUCCAUGUCCAGUUCCAAAUUUCACAAGGAAAUACAACAUGCGUAAGUUUUAAUAAAAUAGAUCACUACGCUCACCAAACAGUGAACUUUGUCAUUCAGACUGGGUUCAUGUAUGUAGUCUGGAUCAUAAUCAGUCAGUGGAGAAACAGGAUUAAACUGAGGACAAAGAAAAGAACAGUAAAAGGAUAUAAAGUACUUUAAAUUACUGCAUCAUCUGAUCAUGUGGCAUCUGUAGUUAAUUGAUGUAGAUCAUUUACUAAAUAUGUUAUGAGUAAAAGGGGGCACGCUUAGUGGUUAGCACGUUUGCCUCACACCUCCAGGGUUGGAGGUUCGAUUCUCGCCUCCGUCUUGUGGGUGCAGAGUUUGCAUGUUCACCCUGUGAUUCGGGGGUUUCCUCCGGGUACUCCGGUUUCCACCCCCAGUCCAAAGACAUGCAUGGUAGGUUGAUUGGCAUCUCUGGAAAAUUGUCCGUAGUGUGUGUGUGUGUGAAUGAGAGUGUGUAUCCUGCCUCGAUGCCCGAUGACACCCGAGAGAGGCACAGGCUCCCCGUGACCCGAGUCUUCUUUGACACGGCCAUGCAGCACAUUAAUGAUAUCAUCAGGCUGAAUUCCCUCUUCCUCGUGAUCUUCCAGACCCAUAACAUCAUUGAGGACAAACGGUUCUACGUUUGCCGUAUUAUGUUUGGCGUUCUGUUGCACAUUACUAUUCCAAUUUCGUAAGACCUCAGUGAGUGGAAUUCACUGAAAUACCUAGUGGGCAAAUUGUGAUUCUUAUGUGCUUGCUAUUUUGCUAUUUAUUUUUAUUUUCUCCGGUGAUUUAAUACAGUGGUCCCCAACCUUUUUUUUUUUUGCUGUGGACCGGUCAAUGUUUGAUCAUUUUACCGCGGCCCGCUGGGGGUGGGGUGUGGCAGCUGUACAAUUAAAUUAAAAU